rnacentral:rRNA from 1 species
UUAGAGUUUGAUCAUGGCUCAGAUUGAACGCUGGCGGCAUGCCUUAUAUAUGCAAGUCGAACGGUAACAGGUUAAGCUGACGAGUGGCGAACGGGUGAGUAAUAUAUCGGAACGUGCCCAGUCGUGGGGGAUAACUGCUCGAAAGAGCAGCUUAUACCGCAUACGACCUGAGGGUGAAAGCGGGGGAUCGCAAGACCUCGCGCGAUUGGAGCGGCCGAUAUCAGAUUAGGUAGUUGGUGGGGUAAAGAGCUACCAAGCCAACGAUCUGUAGCUGGUCUGAGAGGACGACCAGCCACACUGGGACUGAGACACGAGCUAGACUCCUACGGGAGGCAGCAGUGGGGAAUUUUGGACAAUGGACGCAAGUCUGAUCCAGCCAUGCCGCGUGCGGGAAGAAGGCCUUCGGGUUGUAAACCGCUUUUGUCAGGGAAGAAACGCUCUGGGUUAAUACCCUGGGGUAAUGACGGUACCUGAAGAAUAAGCACCGGCUAACUACGUGCCAGCAGCCGCGGUAAUACGUAGGGUGCAAGCGUUAAUCGGAAUUACUGGGCGUAAAGCGUGCGCAGGCGGUUAUGCAAGACAGAGGUGAAAUCCCCGGGCUCAACCUGGGAACUGCCUUUGUGACUGCAUGGCUAGAGUACGGUAGAGGGGGAUGGAAUUCCGCGUGUAGCAGUGAAAUGCGUAGAUAUGCGGAGGAACACCGAUGGCGAAGGCAAUCCCCUGGACCUGUACUGACGCUCAUGCACGAAAGCGUGGGGAGCAAACAGGAUUAGAUACCCUGGUAGUCCACGCCCUAAACGAUGUCAACUGGUUGUUGGGAGGGUUUCUUCUCAGUAACGUAGCUUAC